GUUCAGGAAUUAAGGCCUGACCUGUGUAAGUAUAAGUAAUUCUACUUUGAAACUGCGAAUGGCCUCAUUAUAUCAGUUAUAGUUUAUUAGAAAUACUUUACUACUUGGAUAACCGUAGUAAUUCUAGGGCUAAUACAUGAAUGAAUCCUCAACUUCGGAGAAGGUGGGUUUAUUAACAUGAAAACCAUUUCUCUUCCGAUAUAAUAGUGAGUAAUAACAACCUUUNNNAUCGGAUGACAUAAGAUAACUACAUUUCUUUCCUGUUCCUGCCCUAUCACCUUGCAAUGGUAGUGUAUGGCACUGCCAUGGCAGGAACAGGUAAAGAUCAAUUUCGGUUCGAGAUCGGAAAGGGAGGCUAAGACAUCCCUACCACAUCCAAGGAACGCAGCUGGCCCUUACCUUACCCAGUCAUGAGGUGGGGAGGAAGUGACAUGACAUCGCGAUGCUCAUGUAUUUGGUUUUGGAAUUGCAUAGAGAACAAAGCACUAAUGUUAUCGAUAAACAAUUGGAGGGCAGGUCCCGCGCCAGCUGCCGCUCCAAUUCCAGAUCCUAUAGUUUAUGUUAAUGUUGUUGCCAUUACACAGCUCAAU
rnacentral:rRNA from 1 species